AAAAUCCACUAGGGGGUGCUUGUAAAAGCUGAGAGGAAAUAUUCCGACCCUUAGAACCUGAUUUGGUUAAGACCAACGUAGGGAAGUGGCAAAUAAAUGAU
rfam:Megamonas hypermegale ART12/1 draft genome.